CCUACGGGAGGCAGCAGUGGGGAAUAUUGCACAAUGGGGGAAACCCUGAUGCAGCGACGCCGCGUGAGUGAAGAAGUAUUUCGGUAUGUAAAGCUCUAUCAGCAGGGAAGAAGCAAGACGGUACCUGACUAAGAAGCCCCGGCUAACUACGGGCCAGCAGCCGCGGUAAUACGUAGGGGGCAAGCGUUAUCCGGAUUUACUGGGGGAAAAGGGAGCGUAGACGGUAUGGCAAGUCAGAAGUAAAAGCCCAGGGCUUAACCCGGGGACUGCUUUGGAAACUGUUAGACUAGAGUGCUGGAGGGGUAGGUGAAAUUCCUGGUGUAGCGGUGAAAUGGG
rnacentral:rRNA from 1 species